rnacentral:rRNA from 1 species
ACAGCGUGGACUACCAGGGUAUCUAAUCCUGUUUGCUACCCACGCUUUCGCGUCUCAGCGUCAGAUAUGAGCCAGUUAGUCGCUUUCGCCACUGGUGUUCUUCCAAAUAUCUACGAAUUUCACCUCUACACUUGGAAUUCCACUAACCUCUCUCAAUCUCUAGCGUAAUAGUAUCAAAAGCAGUUCCUAAGUUAAGCUUAGGGAUUUCACCUCUGACUGAUUACACAGCCUACACGCCCUUUACGCCCAGUAAUUCCGAACAACGCUAGCUCCCUCCGUAUUACCGCGGCUGCUGGCACGGAGUUAGCCGGAGCUUCUUCUGAAGUUACCGUCAUCAUCUUCACUUCUGAAAGAGUUUUACAACCCUAAGGCCUUCGUCCCUCACGCGGCGUUGCUCCGUCAGGCUUUCGCCCAUUGCG